rnacentral:tRNA from 1 species
GGGGAGUUUCUCCAGAGUGAGAUUGUAAGUCCUUGUUAUUGCAAGUACUUACGAUUUUCUGCUGUCGGUUUGCUAAACCGUCGUAGGGGCAUAUACCUCUACCGCGGGUUCGAAUCCCGCCCUCUCCG